CUCCAACUCAACAGUCUUAAAGAAUAAGGAAAAAAAAUCUUACAAACAAAAUGUUACACAGUAGAGUAGCUCUCAGGCUUGCUAAUUCUUUUUAAAACCUUUCCUUGAAGACUCCCAGUGGGCCUCUUCUCACAUUUCAUUGGCCAGGACUGGCAUCCCUGCCCACUUCUAAGCCUGUUUCUACCAAAGGAAGUCUGUAUCACUUGCUUGGGCAAUUCAGAAUGUACCUGUGACUUGUGAGAAGAAGGAGAGGACACCCAACCAAAUCUGGUCCCCAUCAGAGAGGAAGAAGGGCCAUUGAUACCCAGGGACCAGCCAAAGUGUCUUUGCAAUCUUCCUGUGCAGACGAGUUUUGGACAAGUGUGGAUGCUGGAAGGAUUUCUAUUACGGAUUUCACAGGCUUCAAAAUGGUCAUGCUGGCACUUCACCAGUCUCCAGUCUGUUUCCUGGUGGUUGACUGCCCUCCCAUUCCUGACCUACCAGAAUCAUCAUCAUUUCAAGAAACAAACAUAGGAAUAUUCCCCUACCAGGUGAUGGGAACUUUGGAGAAAGUGAGAGUCUUUGAGGACAAGAAGAACCACUCCAAAGGCUCCCUUGGGACUGUGUGGGGGAGAAAGUUUUACAUGUCAGAAUCUGACAGACUUGGACUUCCCAUCCCGGAUCCACGUGUACUUAUCUGUAGGUUCUUGGAAAUCUCUUUAAACAGUCUGAGUCUCCGCUUCCUCAUCGGUAAAAUUAGCAUCAUAACCUAUAUGAGGUUGUGGUUUUGAGGCUUUAAGGCACAUGACAGGUUAUUCCUCAUCAAGGGGAGCUCAGAUAAGACUGUGGGAAACAUAUACUGGCUCAAGAAAAUUUACCUUUCUGUUUUGCUUCCAGGUUUAGGUAGCUUAGAGCCCUCAAUGUUGCCAGGAAUGGUAAAAUUGAAUACAUCCCUCUGGG
ensembl:lincRNA